UACGGGGGGGAGCAAGCGUUGUCCGGAAUUAUUGGGCGUAAAGAGCUCGUAGGCGGUUCGUCACGUCGGGAGUGAAAACUCGGGGCUUAACCCCCGAGCCUGCUUCCGAUACGGGCAGACUAGAGGUAGGCAGGGGAGAGCGGAACUCCUGGUGUAGCGGUGGAAUGCGCAGAUAUCAGGAGGAACACCAAUGGCGAAGGCAGCACUCUGGGACGUGACUGACGCUGAGACGCGAAAACGUGGGGAGCAAACAGG
rnacentral:rRNA from 1 species